UGAUUUAAUACAUCACUUUCUCCAUAAUCUUCUGCCUUUUACCUAUUCUAGGGCAGACCUCUGAACCAUAUAAAAACUUAUUUUUCUCUUUCUUUGAACAAGGAGAAAAAUAAGGAGAUUUUGCAAGAGAAUGAGAGACGAAGGAGAGAAGCACAUGAAAUCUGGUCUUGCUGCAACAAAAGGGACGCCUUCUGCAACAUUCUAGCAGCAGAUUCUUCAUCAUUUUA
rnacentral:misc_RNA from 1 species